UACGAAGGGGGGCUAGCGUUGUUCGGAAUUGACUGGGCGUAAAGCGCGCGCAGGCGGUCUUCCAAGUCAGUGGUGAAAGCCCGGACUCAACUCCGGAAUGCCAUUGAAACUGUAAGACUUGAGGACGAGAGAGGUGAGUGGAAUUCCCAGUGUAGAGGUGAAAUUCGUAGAUAUUGGGAAGAACACCAGUGGCGAAGGCGGACUCGACUGGCUCGGUAUCUGACGCUCAGGCGCGGACAGACGUGGGGAUCGAA
rnacentral:rRNA from 1 species